CUGGGGAUAUCUUCCCCUGAUGUUUAGCAUCUGGCAAGGAGAAGGCCCAUGCCUGCUCUCUCCAUGCGGAACUUUGUGAUUUCAGCAGGGAGGAAUGGAUGAAGGGUGCAAAGCCAACAGAAGGGGGAAUGGAGCAGCAUUGGACAAUCACUGCUAGGAAAUAAGCCAGACUCUGGUGAGCAGGCUAGGCCUCUGAUCUGAGGGCCUUCCACUCGGCCACGGCUCCUUCCUAGCUGAAGUCUGACUUCAUCCCUACCCAGGAAGGAGAGUUGCAGUCUUUGCAGUUUGGGCUUCCCCUGAACUCUUGCUUAUUCCUGUAACCCUGAACUUCACGCUGCUUUGAAACUGACCUCACCAGGGGACUUCUGCGACAAACAAAAACAAACUUUCACGUGAAGAGAUGAAAUGAAUUUUUUUUUUAAUUCUUUUUUUUCGGAGCUGGGGACCGAACCCAGGGCCUUGCGCUUGCUAGGCAAGUGCUCUGCCACUGAGCUAAAUCCCCAACCCCAUGAAUUUUUACCUAGAAGAAAAGUUAUUUCCUGCUGUGUGUGUCCUCAGGCCUCCAUAAAAAUUCACAGUUCCCAGCACUAACUCAGACUGGUAUGUAGGUCAUUAUGUUUUGGCCUCACCCCAAGAAGAUAUUUCUUCACCUGCUACCACCAACACUCCCCUCAGACAGACCUGUACCUGCAAGAAGAGAUAUGAUGGCUGUUUAGGAAUGGGAGGAGAGGGAAGGAGGGGAACAUCGGUCAGAAAAAAAAAUGAGAAGAAAAUUACAAUCAGGAGAUGGAAAUUUUGGGUUAUGAUUUUCAACGUAAGCAAGAAGAUUACAUAACUUCAGCAGAUGUGACUCAUAUUGAUUUUUACUCCUUUCUUCUUCCAAAUGAUUAUGAAGAUGGAAUGAACUUGGAAGAUCUGAAUGAAAUUAUGAGAGUUAGGUGAUUCUUAUUCAUGGAGGACAAAAGUCCAAAAGUGAAUUGAAAGAAGAAAAUGAACUUUUACUUUUAGGAGGUACCACCAUUGGUAAACAUCAUGGGAAUAUAACUUGGCUUUUUUCUUCUUUUUCUUUUUUUGCACAUAGCCCUCACUCCGGUUGCUGCCUUUUCUCAUUUUCCCCCUGAGAUUUUGUCAAAAUUACAUUUGCAUCUGUUCCAAGGAGUCAGAUAUUUGUACCCGAUCUAUUUUGAAAAAACAAAACAAAAGGAAAAAAAAAACCUCUGAGAACCUUGAUUCUUGUUCUUAUCCUCUUUAAUGUUCCCCUUUUAUAGGAAGCCAUUUUGAUGUCUUUUAACCUUUUUGUGCGCAUACAUAUAUGUGUGGGUGUGGGUGUGCAUGUGUGUGUACGUAAAUUAUAUACUUGUGAAUUUUUGAUUUUUCAGUUAUGAGCAUGCUCUCCACUGUGG
ensembl:lncRNA